GACGAACGCUGGCGGCGUGCUUAACACAUGCAAGUCAAACGGAAAGGCCCUGCUUUUGUGGGGUGCUCGAGUGGCGAACGGGUGAGUAACACGUGAGUAACCUGCCCUUGACUUUGGGAUAACUUCAGGAAACUGGGGCUAAUACCGGAUAGGAGCUCCUGCUGCAUGGUGGGGGUUGGAAAGUUUCGGCGGUUGGGGAUGGACUCGCGGCUUAUCAGCUUGUUGGUGGGGUAGUGGCUUACCAAGGCUUUGACGGGUAGCCGGCCUGAGAGGGUGACCGGCCACAUUGGGACUGAGAUACGGCCCAGACUCCUACGGGAGGCAGGAGUGGGGAAUAUUGCACAAUGGGCGGAAGCCUGAUGCAGCAACGCCGCGUGCGGGAUGACGGCCUUCGGGUUGUAAACCGCUUUCGCCUGUGACGAAGCGUGAGUGACGGUAAUGGGUAAAGAAGCACCGGCUAACUACGUG
rnacentral:rRNA from 1 species